CAAGAGAGAAAGAGAGAGAGAGAACUACAGCCCGAGAGACAGAGGGAAUACCGACCAACAACGUCAUGCCGCCGGGGUAUCUUUAAAACUGCGAAUGAAAAAAACUGGUUCCCAACCAUCUCGACACCACCUAUGCCCGGCCAUCCCCAUAUCCAACAGCCUCAUCCGUCGUCGUCCGUGGCCCAGCGGCUGAAGCGAACGAGUUUCUACGAUGAAUUCAUCAACAGGGUAGAUUAUGGAGGACAGAAGUGUGUAUGGUCAUGGUAUGGGCGAUUAUGGUGAAGAAGCGCCACCUGUGGCAGGAGACUGCAUUGCAUCUCGUGGGAUUUUAGGAACAAAGUCGGCGACUAAAUGAUUUGAAUAUUACUAGAUUAUUCUACCUCAAGGACACAACCUAGAACCUUGAAGAUCUGAGAGUGUGCGAAGAGGCCCAAUCAUGGGUGGAAGGCAGUGUCUAUGCGGUUCAUGUUAGCCAACGAGCUUAAUGGCUUCAGUUGUCCGUUAUUUUUGAGAUAGCAAACCAAUCUGACUAUCCACACAUUAGUCAGAACUUCAGGAACUACAUCAAGGAGUCGAAUUUACAAUAAUCAACUGCUAAUUUACAUUAAGUACAUCACUCAAAAUCAGCUAUACAAUGGCAGAAUGCACAAAAACGUUGCUUACAUAAGCGCAGACCGAUCUUUUAUCGUACCUUCGCCUGAGAAAAAGUAAAAAAAAAACCACAAACUCCAAAGUCCAAACAGCUGCUCGAGGGGCAAGCGGAGCUUACCAAAAAAUAUGACCAAACACACAUUCGCACAUAUUAACCGUCCGUGCAGGCGAGUUCGAAUGGGCGACCGAAAAAAAAAUGCAUAAAUGGAAAAUUUUCAAACCAGCUUGGUUAAUGGCAAAAUACAUAAAGCCUCUCUCCGAGCACAGCCAACACAGGAUACAAAAAAGCUGCGAUGAAAAUGAAAAUCGUUAUUACUAUAUAAGUAAAACCAAGCAUCAAAACCAGAAGAAAAGGAAACCCUCUCGGGGAAGAAAACAGUGAUUCUUCCGUGCAGGUUGAUCAGCCCAGCGGUGGCAAAGGAGCGGCAAAAGAAGAAGAAUAUGCUGAACGUAGCAAAAAAAAGGAACAAAAACACAUAAAAACGACAGUUUACCGAUUAAUCGCAUUCAAUCCACACGCCAAAACAGCACCGAAACGAGAUAUCUGGUGCCGCCGCCUUUUCCUUGCCGAUCCGGUUCGAAGCGGUUUUGCCAGCGGAUCUGGGUCUCAUCAUUAAACACCAAACAGUGCCACCGCCGAACACCCAUUCCAUUCCGGUUCGACGAAGAAACCGGGUAGAUGAUGGUCCCACAGCCUCCCUCCCUCCUCCUUCCGCACUCCAGCAUUUCACCUUCACCGACCAUCGUCGCAGUCGUCGUCGUCGUUGUUGUCGGUUUCACCGUUCGCGAGAGCACGCAUCGACCGCAUGAUCGGAUAUCUGUGGUCGUCGGCCAAUGUCAAGUGAGCGAACCACAGCGCGAGCCAAACCGUAUCCUCUCCACUCAGAGACAUGGAUACACACACACACAUACACACAUACAUAUAUUCGGGCGACGCACCUAAAAAGCAGAAGAAAGGUAGAAAUGGCAGAACAGAAAUAAAGGUUGCAUUUCGGGAGGGUGUUGUACUAAAAAAGAAUAAUAAUUCGGAAACCAUGCACCACCGUACUAAAGAUCUUUGCACAGCACGCACGGACAAACCGGCAUG